UGCGGGCGCUGUAGCUCCCAUCGGCGGUCGGCGCUCCCGUCGUCCUCCACGUCGCCGUCCUUCCUCCGUCUCUCCAAGCUUGUUUUUGCUUCUUUAUAUCUGCACUCCGCGACCUCUCGUGCGCCGGAGUGAACUGGGACCAGCUGGAGAUAGGGUCCAGGGGGCCGAUGGUGGCCGGCGAGCACCGGCGCCGGCAACGGGAGUGAUGGAGGAGGCGGAGGGACAGGCGCCGUUGUGGACAGCGCGCGCGCGGCGGAGCGGGCUGGGGCAGGCGCCGCCUGUCUCUCGGGCUCGGCCCACAUACUUGCACGUGAUUGGUGUAACGUUGUGGAUAAACCAAAGGCAUAUGUAUGCGUCCUCAGAACUUUGUUAUUGGUGAACAUAUUCUUACACCAUCUUCAGGCACCGAGUCGCCAAUCAAGGAUUGUGCUACAAGUGUGAAGUGAUAAUUUUACUGUUUUGAGCACUGAAGCUGACAGGAUUGAAAUUUUGACAACUCAAUUUCAAUCUGUCUACAUAUAUCACCAGGUAAUAGAGG